rnacentral:tRNA from 1 species
GCGGAUUUAGCUCAAUUGGUAGAGCGCCGGUUUUCCACACCUGAGGUCACGGGUUCGAUUCCCGUAAUCCGCU